GAUGAACGCUAGCUACAGGCUUAACACAUGCAAGUCGAGGGACCGGCGCACGGGUGAGUGACACGUAUCCAACCUGCCCUUUACUCGGGGAUAGCCUUUCGAAAUAAAGAUUAAUACACGAUACAAAGGAUGGGGAUGCGUUCCAUUAGGUUGUUGGUGAGGUAACGGCUCACCCAGCCUUCCAUGGAUAGGGGUUCUGAGAGGAAGGUCCACGAGAUUUGAACUGAGACACGGUCCAAACUCUGACGGGAGGAAGAAGUGAGUAAUAUUAUUCAAUGGGCGCUAGCCUGACACAGCCAAGUAGCGUAAAGGAUGAAGGAUUAUGGGUGGUCAACUUCUGUUAUAGAAGAAUAUGUAUUAUAUGAAUAAGGAUCGGCUAACUCCGUGCCAGCCGCCGCGGUAAUAC
rnacentral:rRNA from 1 species